UGGGGAAUAUUGGACAAUGGGCGAAAGCCUGAUCCAGCCAUGCCGCGUGUGUGAAGAAGGCCUUUCGGUUGUAAAGCACUUUAAGCGAGGAGGAGGCUACUUGGAUUAAUACUCUAGGAUAGUGGACGUUACUCGCAGAAUAAGCACCGGCUAACUCUGUGCCAGCAGCCGCGGUAAUACAGAGGGUGCGAGCGUUAAUCGGAUUUACUGGGCGUAAAGCGUGCGUAGGCGGCUUUUUAAGUCGGAUGUGAAAUCCCUGAGCUUAACUUAGGAAUUGCGUUCGAUACUGGGAAGCUAGAGUAUGGGAGAGGAUGGUAGAAUUCCAGGUGUAGCGGUGAAAUGCGUAGAGAUCUGGAGGAAUACCGAUGGCGAAGGCAGCCAUCUGGCCUAAUACUGACGCUGAGGUACGAAAGCAUGGGGAGCAAACAGG
rnacentral:rRNA from 1 species